AUACGACAAUCAUAACGUGAAUCAGAGACUGUGAUUAAUUA
rnacentral:guide_RNA from 1 species